rnacentral:rRNA from 1 species
UCGGGAAUUUUGGGCAAUGGGCGAAAGCCUGACCCAGCAACGCCGCGUGAAGGAUGAAGUAUUUCGGUAUGUAAACUUCGAAAGAAUAGGAAGAAUUAAUGACGGUACUAUUUAUAAGGUCCGGCUAACUACGUGCCAGCAGCCGCGGUAAUACGUAGGGACCAAGCGUUGUUCGGAUUUACUGGGCGUAAAGGGCGCGUAGGCGGCAUGACAAGUCACUUGUGAAAUCUCCGGGCUUAACUCGGAACGGCCAAGUGAUACUGUCACGCUAGAGUAUUGGAGGGGCAAUCGGAAUUCUUGGUGUAGCGGUGAAAUGCGUAGAUAUCAAGAGGAACACCUGAGGUGAAGACGGGUUGCUGGCCAAAUACUGACGCUGAGGCGCGAAAGCCAGGGGAGCAAA